UCUAAAAUCGAUAAAACAAUAGUAACAGGGGUGAGUCUUCCACCAAAGAGCGAAACUUUCCUUUUCAAGAGGCCAAUUUGGAUUCCACCCUAAGGAUAAGAGGGAUCCAAUCAAAUUUAGAUAACUUACCAUCUUUUAUGGGGAGGCUAGGUUAAGUGAAUGAUAGUAGAGAUAUGUUGUAAUUGAGCCAUGAAGCACAAUCCGCUACAU
rnacentral:lncRNA from 1 species